GAUGAACGCUGGCGGCGUGCUUAACACAUGCAAGUCGAACGAGAAGUGAAGACGGAAACCUUCGGGCGGAAGGCUUUAUUUCGAGUGGCGGACGGGUGAGUAACGCGUGGGUAACCUGCCUCAUACAGGGGGAUAACAGUUGGAAACGACUGUUAAUACCGCAUAAGACCACAGCACCGCAUGGUGCGGGGGUAAAAACUCCGGUGGUAUGAGAUGGACCCGCGGUCGAUUAGCCAGUUGGCGGGGUAACGGCCCACCAAAGCGACGAUCGAUAGCCGAUCUGAGAGGAUGACCGGCAACAUUGGGACUGAGACACGGCCCAAACUCCUACGGGAGGCAGCAGUGGGGAAUAUUGCACAAUGGGGGAAACCCUGAUGCAGCGACGCCGCGUGAGUGAAGAAGUAUUUCGGUAUGUAAAGCUCUAUCAGCAGGGAAGAAAAUGACGGUACCUGAGUAAGAAGCCCCGGCUAACUACGUG
rnacentral:rRNA from 1 species